rnacentral:rRNA from 1 species
GACGAACGCUGGCGGCGUGCCUAAUACAUGCAAGUCGAGCGAGUCUGCCUUGAAGAUCGGAGUGCUUGCACCCUGUGAAACAAGAUACAGGCUAGCGGCGGACGGGUGAGUAACACGUGGGUAACCUGCCCAAGAGAUCGGGAUAACACCUGGAAACAGGUGCUAAUACCGGAUAACAACAGAUGAUGCCUAUCAACUGUUUAAAAGAUGGUUCUGCUAUCACUCUUGGAUGGACCUGCGGUGCAUUAGCUAGUUGGUAGGGUAACGGCCUACCAAGGCGAUGAUGCAUAGCCGAGUUGAGAGACUGAUCGGCCACAUUGGGACUGAGACACGGCCCAAACUCCUACGGGAGGCAGCAGUAGGGAAUCUUCCACAAUGGACGCAAGUCUGAUGGAGCAACGCCGCGUGAGUGAAGAAGGGUUUCGGCUCGUAAAGCUCUGUUGUUGGUGAAGAAGGACAGGGGUAGUAACUGACCUUUGUUUGACGGUAAUCAAUUAGAAAGUCACGGCUAACUACGUG